CUUGUUCCGCGGAGGGUGGGGCGGUCUCUGCUUGCGCAUGCGCAAUGCCAGCCAGUGCCUGCGCGGCUUGCUCCAGCAAGGUAAAAUUUCCCACUGCGAGGCAGGCAGUGAUGCUGCGGCCGCUUCGCACUGUGGCUCCUGCCGACCGCCAGGCGCUGUUACAGUGGAUGCGAACUAACCGUAAGUCAUUAUAUCGUACUGCAGAAACCAGCUCAACUAUGCAAAACUACCACCAGGACUGGCCGACACCAGGAGGGAUUCCAGAGACCACACUGCAGGGAGCAUACAGAAAGAAAAUUAAGAGAUCAGAUGCAGCAGCAGCCGGAACCCACAGUUCACCUUGGUGCAUUCCUUUAUGAUGAAGACUUAUUGAUUCAUUAUAUGAGAAAGGAAAAAUGAGCAGAAACUACUGUAUGAUGUGCAGCUCACACCAGACAGCAACUUUAGGGUUAUCUUUCCAGUUCAGCAGUGCAACUCUAUGGAGUAGAAUUGAAAGGAGACUUUUCGCCAAUUGCAGGAAAUGGUCAUAAAAAAAUACCUGCUCACUGACAGAAUAAAGGUGCUUCAUGCAGACAUCUGUACACCAGAUUUACUUCUGCAAAAUGCUGAUGCUAUGAAUAAUGCUUUUGAAUAUUAAUAAGGCAAAACAGACCAGCACAUGUGCCUCACUCUUCAUGGUAAAUGUUUUACUGAAGAAUAACAUACAGAAAAGUGGACAAGUCUUAACUGCACAGCUCAAUGAAUUUCCAUGAAGUAAAUAUACCCAUAUGAUAAUCCAGCUCAAGAAACAGAAAAUCACUACCACCCCAGAAGACUGCCUUAUACUACCAUCUUUUAAGAGUGAAUCACACAUGGGGUACUCCUUGUAUCUGGCCUCUUUCUUUUUUUCUUUCUUUUUAAUUAUUAUUUUUGUUUGAGAUGGAGUCUCAUUCUGUCACCCAGGCUAGA
rnacentral:lncRNA from 1 species